AUUGAACGCUGGCGGCAUGCCUAACACAUGCAAGUCGAACGGCAGCACAGCCCGCAAGGGUGGGUGGCGAGUGGCGGACGGGUGAGGAGUACAUGGGAAUCUACCCUGUCGUGGGGGAUAACGUAGGGAAACUUACGCUAAUACCGCAUACGACCUCCGGGUGAAAGCGGCGGACCGCAAGGCGUCGCGCGACUGGAUGAGCCCAUGUCGGAUUAGCUAGUUGGCGAGGUAAAGGCCCACCAAGGCGACGAUCCGUAGCUGGUCUGAGAGGAUGAUCAGCCACACUGGAACUGAGACACGGUCCAGACUCCUACGGGAGGCAGCAGUGGGGAAUAUUGGACAAUGGGCGCAAGCCUGAUCCAGCAAUGCCGCGUGGGUGAAGAAGGCCUUCGGGUUGUAAAGCCCUUUUGUACGGGAAGAAAUCCAGUCGGUUAAUACCCGGCGGGGAUGACGGUACCGUAAGAAUAAGCUCCGGCUAACUUCGUGCCAGCCGCCGCCGUAA
rnacentral:rRNA from 1 species